rnacentral:rRNA from 1 species
UACGGGGGGGGCAAGCGUUGUUCGGAAUUACUGGGCGUAAAGGGCUCGUAGGCGGCCAACUAAGUCAGACGUGAAAUCGCUCGGCUUAACCGGGGAACUGCGUCUGAUACUGGAUGGCUAGAGGUUGGGAGAGGGAUGCGGAAUUCCAGGUGUAGCGGUGAAAUGCGCAGAUAUCAGGAGGAACACCAAUGGCGAAGGCAGCUCGCUGGGACGGUACUGACGCUGAGACGCGAAAGCGUGGGGAGCAAACAGG